rnacentral:rRNA from 1 species
UACGGGGGGGGCAAGCGUUGUUCGGAAUUACUGGGCGUAAAGGGCUCGUAGGCGGCCAACUAAGUCGGAUGUGAAAUCCCCAGGCUUAACCUGGGAACUGCAUCCGAUACUGGAUGGCUUGAAUCCGGGAGAGGGAUGCGGAAUUCCAGGUGUAGCGGUGAAAUGCGUAGAUAUCUGGAGGAACACCGGUGGCGAAGGCGGCAUCCUGGACCGGCAUUGACGCCGAGGAGCGAAAGCCAGGGGAGCAAACAGG